rnacentral:tmRNA from 20 species
GGGGGCGUUCUGGUUUCGACGGAUUGCUAGAAGUGGAGGCUGCAUGCCGCGGAUGAUUCGUUGGCCGCGUUACCAAUUCGGAUCAAACAAACUAAAUGCGAACUCUAACGAGCUUGCCCUCGCCGCUUAAUUGACGGUGACGUUCCUCCAGUGAAGUCUGUGAAUUGGAGGGGCGACUACUUACAGGCUGGCCAAAAGAGCGGGCGACCGGCUCCGAGGCGAGAUCUACAGGCCGCUGGGUGGACGGUAUCCUGGCAGUAGGAGACUGGACAUCGAGAUCAAAUUAUUGCCUGAGCAUGGAGACGCUUUCAUGGAAGGUGGUUCGGACAGGGGUUCAACUCCCCUCGCCUCCACCA